rnacentral:rRNA from 1 species
AUUGAACGCUGGCGGCAUGCCUUACACAUGCAAGUCGAACGGCAGCACGGGAGCAAUCCUGGUGGCGAGUGGCGAACGGGUGAGUAAUAUAUCGGAACGUGCCCAGUCGUGGGGGAUAACGUAGCGAAAGCUACGCUAAUACCGCAUACGAUCUAUGGAUGAAAGCGGGGGAUCGCAAGACCUCGCGCGAUUGGAGCGGCCGAUAUCAGAUUAGGUAGUUGGUGAGGUAAAGGCUCACCAAGCCGACGAUCUGUAGCUGGUCUGAGAGGACGACCAGCCACACUGGGACUGAGACACGGCCCAGACUCCUACGGGAGGCAGCAGUGGGGAAUUUUGGACAAUGGACGCAAGUCUGAUCCAGCCAUUCCGCGUGCAGGAUGAAGGCCCUCGGGUUGUAAACUGCUUUGUACGGAACGAAAGGUUUGUCUUAAUACGAUGAGCUCAUGACGGUACCGUAAGAAUAAGCACCGGCUAACUACGU